rnacentral:lncRNA from 1 species
UUUAGUUUAUGUGAAAAUUCAAUAAUGUUUUAUAUUACUAAACUAAUAUUUGGUUGGGAAAUUUGAUUUUUUGCCAAUGCAAAUAUGUUAAUACUGAUUGAAGUCUUUCAAAACCGUUUGCCAUAUACAAUAUGUAAACGGUAAUUUACACUUAGAAGUUAGAAAGCCGUUUCUUUCUAACACAAUUCUCAUGGGCUCAACGUGCACA